rnacentral:rRNA from 1 species
AUUGAACGCUGGCGGCAGGCCUAACACAUGCAAGUCGAGCGGAUGAAGGGAGCUUGCUCCUGGAUUCAGCGGCGGACGGGUGAGUAAUGCCUAGGAAUCUGCCUGGUAGUGGGGGAUAACGUCCGGAACCGGGCGCUAAUACCGCAUACGUCCUGAGGGAGAAAGUGGGGGAUCUUCGGACCUCACGCUAUCAGAUGAGCCUAGGUCGGAUUAGCUAGUUGGUGGGGUAAAGGCCUACCAAGGCGACGAUCCGUAACUGGUCUGAGAGGAUGAUCAGUCACACUGGAACUGAGACACGGUCCAGACUCCUACGGGAGGCAGCAGUGGGGAAUAUUGGACAAUGGGCGAAAGCCUGAUCCAGCCAUGCCGCGUGUGUGAAGAAGGUCUUCGGAUUGUAAAGCACUUUAAGUUGGGAGGAAGGGCAGUAAGUUAAUACCUUGCUGUUUUGACGGUACCAACAGAAUAAGCACCGGCUAACUUCGUG